rnacentral:rRNA from 1 species
UACGUAGGGUGCAAGCGUUAAUCGGAAUUACUGGGCGUAAAGGGCGCGUAGGCGGCUUUGCAAGUGGCGGGUGAAAUCCCUCGGCUUAACCGAGGAACUGCCUGCCAGACUGUGAGGCUUGAGACCGGGAGAGGUGAGUGGAAUUCCCAGUGUAGCGGUGAAAAUGCGUAGAUAUUGGGAGGAACACCAGUGGCGAAGGCGGCUCACUGGACCGGAACUGACGCUGAGGCGCGAAAGCGUGGGGAGCAAACAGGG